GAUGAACGCUGGCGGCGUGCCUAAUACAUGCAAGUCGAGCGAACGGACGAGAAGCUUGCUUCUCUGAGGUUAGCGGCGGACGGGUGAGUAACACGUGGAUAACCUACCUAUAAGACUGGGAUAACUUCGGGAAACCGGAGCUAAUACCGGAUAAUAUUUUGAACCGCAUGGUUCAAAAGUGAAAGACGGUCUUGCUGUCACUUAUAGAUGGAUCCGCGCUGCAUUAGCUAGUUGGUAAGGUAACGGCUUACCAAGGCAACGAUGCAUAGCCGACCUGAGAGGGUGAUCGGCCACACUGGAACUGAGACACGGUCCAGACUCCUACGGGAGGCAGCAGUAGGGAAUCUUCCGCAAUGGGCGCAAGCCUGACGGAGCAACGCCGCGUGAGUGAUGAAGGUCUUCGGAUCGUAAAACUCUGUUAUUAGGGAAGAACAUAUGUGUAAGUAACUGUGCACAUCUUGACGGUACCUAAUCAGAAAGCCCCGGCUAACUACGUG
rnacentral:rRNA from 1 species